rnacentral:rRNA from 1 species
GAUGAACGCUGGCGGCGUGCCUAAUACAUGCAAGUCGAGCGAACAGACGAGGAGCUUGCUCCUCUGACGUUAGCGGCGGACGGGUGAGUAACACGUGGAUAACCUACCUAUAAGACUGGGAUAAAUUCGGGAAACCGGAGCUAAUACCGGAUAAUAUAUUGAACCGCAUGGUUCAAUAGUGAAAGACGGUUUUGCUGUCACUUAUAGAUGGAUCCGCGCCGCAUUAGCUAGUUGGUAAGGUAACGGCUUACCAAGGCAACGAUGCGUAGCCGACCUGAGAGGGUGAUCGGCCACACUGGAACUGAGACACGGUCCAGACUCCUACGGGAGGCAGCAGUAGGGAAUCUUCCGCUAUGGGAGAAAGCUUGACGGAGCAACGCCGCGUGAGUGAUGAAGGUCUUCGGAUCGUAAAACUCUGUUAUUAGGGAAGAACAAAUGUGUAAGUAACUAUGCACGUCUUGACGGUACCUAAUCAGAAAGCCACGGCUAACUACGUG